GACGAACGCUGGCGGCGUGCUUAACACAUGCAAGUCGAACGGAAAGGCCCUGCCUUUGUGGGGUGCUCGAGUGGCGAACGGGUGAGUAACACGUGAGUAACCUGCCCUUGACUUUGGGAUAACUUCAGGAAACUGGGGCUAAUACCGGAUAGGAGCUCCUGCUGCAUGGUGGGGGUUGGAAAGUUUCGGCGGUUGGGGAUGGACUCGCGGCUUAUCAGCUUGUUGGUGGGGUAGUGGCUUACCAAGGCGUCGACGGGUAGCCGGCCUGAGAGGGUGACCGGCCACAUUGGGACUGAGGUACGGCCCAGACUCCUUCGGGAAGCAGCAGGUGGGAAUAUUGCACAAUGGGCCGAAGCCUUAUUCAGCAACGCCGCGGGCGGGAUGACGGCCUUCGGGUUGUAAACCGCUUUCGCCUGGGACGAAGCCUAAGGUACGGGAAUGUGUAAAGAAGCACCGGCUAACUACGUG
rnacentral:rRNA from 1 species